CCUACGGGGGGCAGCAGUGAGGAAUAUUGGUCAAUGGACGCAAGUCUGAACCAGCCAUGCCGCGUGCAGGAGGACGGCUCUAUGAGUUGUAAACUGCUUUUGUACGGGGAUAAACGCAGAUACGCGUAUCUGUCUGAAAGUAUCGUACGAAUAAGGAUCGGCUAACUCCGUGCCAGCAGCCGCGGUAAUACGGAGGAUUCGAGCGUUAUCCGGAUUUAUUGGGUUUAAAGGGUGCGUAGGCGGUCGGAUAAGUUAGAGGUGAAAUCCCGAGGCUCAACUUCGGAAUUGCCUUUGAUACUGUUCGGCGAGAGAGUAGUUGCGGUAGGCGGAAUGUAUGGUGUAGCGGUGAAAUGCUUAGAGAUCAUACAGAACACCGAUUGCGAAGGCAGCUUACCAGGCUACUUCUGACGUUGAGGCACGAAAGCGUGGGGAGCAAACAGGAUUAGAUACCCCUGUAGUC
rnacentral:rRNA from 1 species